UGGGGAAUAUUGCACAAUGGGGGAAACCCUGAUGCAGCAACGCCGCGUGAGCGAUGAAGGCCUUCGGGUUGUAAAGCUCUGUCUUCGGGGACGAUAAUGACGGUACCCGAGGAGGAAGCCACGGCUAACUACGUGCCAGCAGCCGCGGUAAUACGUAGGUGGCAAGCGUUGUCCGGAAUUAUUGGGCGUAAAGGAUGCGUAGGUGGUCCUUUAAGUGGGAUGUGAAAUCCCUGGGCUUAACCCAGGAAUUGCAUUCCAAACUGGAGGGCUAGAGUGCAGGAGAGGAAAGUGGAAUUCCCAGUGUAGCGGUGAAAUGCGUAGAGAUUGGGAGGAACACCAGUGGCGAAGGCGGCUUUCUGGACUGUAACUGACACUGAGGCAUGAAAGCGUGGGGAGCAAACA
rnacentral:rRNA from 1 species